GGGGCAUUAACUCAAUUGGUAGAGUGCCACCUUUGCAAGGUGGAAGUUAGGGGUUCGAGUCCCCUAUGCUCCACCA
rnacentral:tRNA from 3 species